AUGUUGUUUUUUUUCAUUUUCUUUUUCUUAGUUCUAGUAAUACUAAUAUCGGACUUACCUAGACGUGGUAACAUUUUUAAAAUCAUUGGACGAAUUUUUUUCCUUUUUUUAAUGGUACUUUUUUUUUUUAUACAUAUAUACUUUAGACCACUUUUAUCUUAAAAUACUUGUUCCAAUGUAUAAGUGUAGCACCUUUUCUGAAAGUCAAUUUUAUCUACUUGGUAAAUGCAUGGGUCAUUUUUGAUUUUCGAUACGGUAUUAAAAAUAAAAACGAUUAACCGGAAAAAAUAUACGAUUUUUUCACGAUUUGGUUUUUUUAAAUAAGUAUCUACCCCGUUUUCUAGCACAAAUACGGCUCCAAUUGAAAA